AUUGAACGCUGGCGGCAGGCCUAACACAUGCAAGUCGAGCGGCAGCGGGAAAGUAGCUUGCUACUUUUGCCGGCGAGCGGCGGACGGGUGAGUAAUGCCUGGGAAAUUGCCCAGUCGAGGGGGAUAACAGUUGGAAACGACUGCUAAUACCGCAUACGCCCUACGGGGGAAAGCAGGGGACCUUCGGGCCUUGCGCGAUUGGAUAUGCCCAGGUGGGAUUAGCUAGUUGGUGAGGUAAUGGCUCACCAAGGCGACGGUCCCUAGCUGGUCUGAGAGGAUGAUCAGCCACACUGGAACUGAGACACGGUCCAGACUCCUACGGGAGGCAGCAGUGGGGAGUAUUGCACAAUGGGGGAAACCCUGAUGCAGCCAUGCCGCGUGUGUGAAGAAGGCCUUCGGGUUGUAAAGCACUUUCAGCGAGGAGGAAAGGUUGAUGCCUAAUACGUAUCAACUGUGACGUUACUCGCAGAAGAAGCACCGGCUAACUCCGUGCCAGCCGCCGCCGUAAAAC
rnacentral:rRNA from 1 species